GAUGAACGCUGGCGGCGUGCCUAAUACAUGCAAGUCGAGCGAACAGAUGAGGAUCUUGCUCCUCUGACGUUAGCGGCGGACGUGUGAGUAACACGUGGAUAACCUACCUAUAAGACGGGUAUAACUUCGGGAAACCGGAGCUAAUACCGGAUAAUAUAUUGAACCGCAUGGUUCAAUAGAGAAAGACGGUUUUGCUGUCACUUAUAGAUGGAUCCGCGCCGCAUUAGCUAGUUGGUAAGGUAACGGCUUACCAAGGCAACGAUGCGUAGACGAACUGAGAGGGGGAUAGGCCACACUGGAAGUGAGACACGGUCAAGACUCCUAAGGGAGGCAGCAGUAGGGAAUCGUACGCAAUGGGCGAAAGCCUGACGGAGCAACGCCGAGUGAGUGAUGAAGGUCUUCGGAGCGUAAAACUCUGUUAUUAGGGAAGAACAAAUGUGUAAGUAACUAUGCACGUAUUGACGGUACCUAAUCAGAAAGCCACGGCUAACUACGUG
rnacentral:rRNA from 1 species